rnacentral:lncRNA from 1 species
AAUGAUUCCUCUGGACUUGUGACCACAUCUGAAGAUCGUAAUCUUCUGGUUAUGAACGGCCAGAAAGAGAUUUUCUGGUCCUCAAAUGUUUCAAAUGCAGCACCAAAUUCAAGUGCUCAGCUUUUAGAUUCUGGACACCUUGUUCUGCGAGAUAACAGCGGAAGGAUCACAUGGGAGAGCAUCCAACAUCCUUCUCAUUCAUUUUUGCCAAAGAUGAAAAUCAGCGCUGAUACAUACAGUGGUGAGAAGGUAGUACUAACAUCAUGGAAAUCUCCCUCUGAUCCGUCUAUUGGAAGCUUCUCUUUAGGAAUGAGUCCUCUAAACAUUCCUCAAGCAUUCGUCUGGAAUGGCAGUCAUCCAUAUUGGCGAAGUGGUCCAUGGAACGGUCAGAUCUUUAUUGGAGUACCCAAAAUGAAUUCAGUUUUCCUCAAUGGAUUUCAGGUGGUUGAUGAUAAAGAAGGUACUGUUUAUGAAACUUUUACUCUGGCAAAUUCGUCUAUCUUUUUAUAUUAUGUCUUGACUCCCCAAGGAACAGUAGAGGAAACAUAUAGGGAGUACGGGAAGGAGGAGUGGGAGGUUACUUGGAGGAGCAAUAAUAGUGAGUGUGAUGUUUAUGGUACAUGUGGGGCAUUUGGAAUCUGUAAUUCAGGGAAUUCACCAAUUUGCAGCUGUUUGAGAGGGUACGAGCCAAAGUAUAUAGAGGAAUGGAGUAGAGGAAAUUGGACUAGUGGAUGUGUGAGGAAGACGCCAUUACAAUGUGAAAAAACAAACAGCAGCGGUCAACAGGGCAAACUAGACGGAUUUUUUAGGCUAACAACAGUGAAAGUUCCAGACUUUGCGGAUUGAUAUCUUGCUCUCGCAGAUGAAUGCAGAGAGCAGUGCUUGAAGAAUUGUUCUUGCAUGGUUUAUUCAUAUUAUAGUGGCAUCGGUUGUAUGUCAUGGAGUGGAAACUUGAUUGAUUUGGGAAAAUUCACUCAAGGUGGGGCAGAUCUUUACGUUCGCCUUGCCAAUUCAGAACUAGGUAAAAAUGUUCUUGUUUUCUUUACCUCUUGUUUUUCUGGUUGUAUCCUUUUGCAGAAUGGAAUAUGCGAACACCCAAGCUUAUUAAACACCUUAUGGCAACUUCUAUCCAAUCCAGUCUCAUGUAUUAGGCUUUGGUUAUAUAAAUUUUUGAAUAUUUCUUGUUCUGUUUUACAGAUAAGAAGAGAGAUAUGAAAGCAAUUAUUUCUGUUACAAUUGUAAUAGGAAUAAUUGCCAUUGGCAUCUGUACAUAUUUCUCAUGGAGGUGGAGACGCAAACAAAUAGGUAAUUUUCCCAUUUAAAGCAGCUCAGUAGGCUAUGCUAUGAUAGAUUUGUAGUUGUCAUCUAGAAAUGACUCACUUCUACAUUUUGCAACAGUGAAAGAUAAAAGCAAGGAGAUAUUACUAUCUGACCGAGGGGAUGCAUAUCAAAUUUAUGAUAUGAAUAGGUUUGGAGACCAUGCAAACCAGGUUAAACUUGAAGAGUUACCACUUCUCGCCCUUGGGAAGCUGGCAACUGCAACAAACAACUUUCAUGAGGCCAAUAAGCUUGGGCAGGGUGGUUUCGGUCCAGUAUACAAGGUAAUGCUUGUUCAUUUUGAGCUUUCUAGGGUAUUAUUUUGAGCUAUUAGUUAUUAAUUUAGUUGAUUGUUUGAAGGGAAAAUUACCCGGAGGACAAGAAAUAGCAGUGAAAAGACUUUCAAGAGCAUCUGCACAGGGUCUAGAAGAAUUCAUGAAUGAGGUGGUUGUGAUUUCUAAAAUCCAACACCGGAAUCUUGUUAGACUUUUUGGCUACUGCAUUGAAGGAGGUGAAAAGUUGUUGAUCUAUGAGUACAUGCCAAACAAAAGCUUGGAUUCCUUUCUCUUUGGUUAGACCAUGUUAUUGUCCCUAAUGUUAUAUGUAGAUGUUCCAAUUUCAUAGCUCUGCAUCACUGUAGAUUCAAUGCAGCAGUAUUUUUAUCCACAUUGCACAUUGAGGCUUAUGUUUCCGUUUUCUUUUUCUAUGUCCAUCAUUCAGAUCCUCUCAAGCGUGACUUUUUGGAUUGGAGAAGAUGCUUCAACAUUAUCGAAGGGAUUGGAAGAGGCCUUCUUUACCUACACAGGGAUUCUAGAUUGAGAAUCAUUCAUCGAGAUCUCAAGGCAAGUAACAUUUUGUUGGAUGAAGACCUGACUGCUAAGAUUUCAGACUUUGGUAUAGCAAGGAUAGUUGGAAGGUAUCAGGAUCAAGCCAAUACAAUGAGGGUGGUGGGAACCUAGUAAGUGGUCAUUGCAUUCUCACAGUUCCCGUAACUAAUCUAAUUAUUAUGCCAAUAUUUAUGGUUCAAAUGAUUAAAUGCAGUGGCUAUAUGUCCCCUGAAUAUGCAAUGGAAGGACGAUUUUAAGAAAAAUCCGAUGUAUUCAGCUUUGGGGUGUUGUUAUUAGAGAUUGUAAGUGGGAGAAGGAACACUAGUUUUCAAUAUGAUGACCAGUACAUGAGCCUUUUGAUAUAUGUAAGUGUAUAAUGGAAAUCAUCACCUUAGUUAUAAAGAGUUUCAUCAUUGUAUUCCAGCAAAUUUAACCUAAAAUUACACUAUGUUGUGUUAAAUUUUUCAGGCAUGGACACUCUGGUGCGAACACAACAUCAAAGAACUAAUAGAUCAAACCAUAGCAGAAGCUUGCUUCCAAGAGGAGAUAUCAAGAUGCAUACAUGUGGGACUGUUAUGUGUGCAAGAAUCAACUAAAGACAGGCCAUCCAUUUCAAUUGUUCUGUCUAUGCUCUCUAGUGAAAUUGCACAUCUUCCUCUCCCAAAGCAACCUUCAUUCUCUGAGUCUAAUCAACUGAGACAAAAGAAAUGUUCUUCAAACCAAGUCACUAUUACAGUCAUUGAAGGUCGAUAGAAUAUGAUUGGGUGACAAUUAGUUCAAUUUUUUUAUUUUUUAUUUGGAUAAAUAUUCAAUUUGGUGACUUCAGUAUGAAGAACCUGAUCAGAUCCUUUAUCAUUCAGCAAAAUGUAUCUAGAUCUUCAACAAUGAGCUCUUCAAAAUGAUAUGGAAUAGUGAAACAACACAUGAGAAUUGGUCUUGUGAUCAAGAUGUGAUUACUUCCUACUAUUUUUGGAUUGAAUUGACUUUUUUUUUUUUAAUACCUAGUCAUCUAAUCUGACUGCUAAGAUUUUAGAUUAAGAAUCAUUCACAGGGAUUGGAAGAGGCCUCAUUUACCUUCACAGGGAUUCUAGAUUAAGAAUCAUUCAUCAAGACCUAAAGGCAAGUAACAUUUUUUUGGAUGAAGACCUGACUGCUAAGAUUUCAAACUUUGGUAUGGCAAGGAUAUUUGGAAGCAAUCAGGAUCAAGCCAAUACAAUGAGAGUCGUGGGAACGUAGUAAGUGGUCAUUGCUUUCUCACAGUUCCCUUAACUUAUCUAUUUGAUAUCCUAAUAUUUAUAGCUCAAUGAUUUAAUGCAGUGGUUAUAUGUCCCCUGAAUAUGCAAUGGGAGGACAAUUUUCAGAAAAAUCUGAUGUAUUCAGCUUUGGGGUGUUGUUAUUAGAGAUUGUAAGAGGGAGAAGGAGCACUAGUUUUCAAUAUGAUGACCAGUACAUGAGCCUUUUGGGAUAUGUAAGUGUAUAAUGGAAAUCAUCACCUUAGUUAUAAAGAGUUUCAUCAUUGUAUUCCAGCAAAUUUAACCUAAAAUUACACUAUGUUGUGUUGAGUUUUUCAGACAUGGACACUAUGGUGCGAACACAACAUCCAAGAACUAUUAGAUGAAGCUACAAUAGAAGCAUGCUUCCAAGAGGAGAUAUCAAGAUGCAUACAUGUGGGACUGUUAUGUGUCCAUGAAUUGGCUAAAGGCAGGUCAUCCAUUUUAACUGUUCUAUCUAUGCUCUCUAGUGAAAUUGCACAUCUUCCUCCUCCAAAGCAACCUCCAUUCUUAAAGAAGCAGACUGCGAUAGAUACUGAGUCUUCUUAAUCGAGACAAAACCAAUAUUCUUCAAACCAAGUGACUGUUACAAUCAUUGAGGGCUGAUAGAAUAUGAUUGGGUGACUAUUAGUUAAAUUGUCUUUUUUUUUUUUUUUUGAUACAUAUUCAACUUGGUGACUUCAGUCCUAAGAACCCCAUCAUGUUGUACUGUCGAAUUUGUUGAUUUGAAUCCUUUAUUCUUUAGAAAAAUGUAUAUGGAUUUUCAACAAUGAUCUUUUCAAAAAGACAAGGAACAAGGAAACAAUACAUGAAGAUUAGACUUAUUAAGAUAUGGAUACUUUCUACUAUUUUUUGUUGGGCUUUGUGGAGCCUAGUUUUGUUUGAUUUGGUUUGAUGACUCGACCCGAAAAAUAUUGCGCGGUUUUUUAAUGGGAGAUUUAUUGAGGCUUAGUCCAUGGAGCAAAGGCUUGUGCCGAUAGGCCCGUUUAGUCCAUUGUGGAACCGCCUUUUGUAAUUAGUGUUUUUUAGUGUGGUGUGGUUGCCGUGUUUUAUAUAGAGAGAAAAUAUUGUAGCCGCAAGUCGUACUCUAUAUUCUUCCCUGAUAAUAGUGAUAUCCCUGUUACUCCGUGAACGUAGACAAAUUGCUGAACCAUGUAAAUAUUGUCUUAUGCGUGUGAUUGUUUUUCUUUGGCGUGUGUUUUCUCUAUUUUUUUUGUUUCUCACAGGUUGGGAAUUCAACUUAAUUCCCUUCAACUAGUAUCAAAGCCUAGGGUUAGGUUUGAGUGGGAGUAAUGACAGAGAAAGCAGGAAAGACGUUUGGAAUAGAAAAGUUUGAUGGCAUAGACUUUGCGUAUUGGAGGAUGCAGAUUGAAGAUUAUCUCUAUGGGAGUAAAUUGCAUCUGCCUCUUUUGGGGACAAAACCUGAGAGUAUGAAGGCUGAAGAAUGGGUGCUUCUUGACAGAUAGGUUCUAAGAGUUAUUAGGUUAAUUUUGUCUAGGUCUGUUACACACAAUGUUAUAAAGGAGAAGACCACAACAGAUCUGAUGAAAGCUUUGUUCGGUAUGUAUGAAAAUCGUUCGCAAACAAUAAGGUGCAUCUGAUGAAGAAAUUGUUCAAUUUGAAGAUGACAGAGAAUGCAUCAGUAGCACAACAUUUGAAUGAAUUUAAUACAAUCACAUCUGUAGAAAUUGAUUUUAAUGAUGAGAUUCGUGCUUUGAUCGUCUUGGCUUCUUUGCCAAACAGUUGGGAGACAAUGAGGAUGGCAAUAAGCAAUUCUACGGGAAAGGAAAAUCUCAAGUACAAUUAUAUACGAGAUUUAAUUCUGGCUGAGGAGAUUCGCCGAAGAAAUGUAGGCGAAACCUUAGGAUCUGGUUCUGUCCUAAACCUUGAGACAAGAGGCAGAGGUAAUGAUAGAAAUUCAAAUAGGGGUAGAUCAAAACCCAGAAAUUCUAAUCAGAACAUAAGCAAAUCUAGAUUAGACCAACAAGUACAAUGCUGGAACUGUGGGAAAACAUGUCACUUUAGAAGGCAAUGCAAAAGUCCUAAGAAGAAGAAUGAAGAUGAUUCUGCUAAUGUUGUAACAGAAGAGGUACAUGAUGCAUUACUUCUUGCAGUAGACAGUCCACUUGAUGAUUGGGUUUUGGAUUCUCAGCUUUGUUUCAUACCACUCCACACCAAGAAAUCAUACAGAAUUAUGCUGCAUGUGAUUUUGGUAAGGUGUAUUUGGCUGAUGGUUCAGCCUUGGAUGUUGUGGGUCUGGGAGACGUUCGGAUAUUGUUGCCCAAUGGGUCUGUUUUGUUACUGGAGAAGGUUCGACAUAUUCCUGACCUGAGGAGGAAUCUGAUUUCUGUUAGACAACUUGAUGAUGAAGGACAUGCAAUAUUAUUUGUUGGUGGUACUUGGAAGGUUACAAAGAGAGCUAGGGUAUUGGCUCGUGGAAAGAAGACUGGUACUCUGUAUAUGACCUCAUGUCCAAGAGACACAAUUGCAGUUGCUGAUGCAAGUACUGAUACAAGCCUAUGACACCACAGACUUAGUCACAUGAGUGAGAAAGGGAUGAAGAUGUUGUUGUCAAAAGAAAAACUACCAGAAUUGAAGUCCAUUGAUUUUGACAUGUGUGAAAGUUGCAUCUUAGGAAAGCAAAAAAAUGUGAGCUUCUUGAAAACUGGUAGGACACCGAAGACUGAAAAAUUGGAACUAGUACACAUCGAUUUGUGGGGGCCUUCUCCAGUUGCAUUCCUUGAAAGUUCAAGGUACUACAUCACUUUUAUUGAUGACUCAAGCAGAAAGGUAUGAGUUUAUUUUCUGAAAAAUAAAUCUGAUGUAUUUGAAACUUUUAGGAAGUGGAAGACCAUGGUUGAGACAGAAACAGGUUUGAAAGUAAAAUGUUUGAGGUCAGAUAAUGGAGGAGAGUACAUAGAUGGAUGGUUCAAUGAGUAUUGUGUUGCAUAGGGAAUUAGGAUGAAGAAGACCAUUCAUGGGACACCACAGUAGAAUGGUGUGGCUGAGCACAUGAACAGAACUCUCAAUGUGCGUGCUAGAAGUAUGAGAUUGCAUGCUGGACUACCAAAAACUUUUUGGGCUGAUGCUAUUAGCACUGCAGUUUACCUGAUAAAUCGAGGACCAUUAGUUCCCAUGGAGUACAGACUUUUUGAGGAGGUUUGCAGUGGUAAAGAGGUAAAGUUUUCACAUUUAAAAGUUUUUUGUUGUGUUUCUUAUGUUCAUAUUGAUUCUGAUGCUCGUAGUAAACUUGAUGCAAAGUCUAAAAUAUGUUUUUUCAUUGGCUAUGGUAAUGAGAAAUUCGGCUAUAGGUUUUGGGAUGAACAAAACAGGAAAAUCAUCAGAAGUAGAAAUGUGAUAUUUAAUGAACAGGUUAUAUACAAGGACAAGUCAACUGUAGUGCUAAAUGUUACAGAAAUAGUUCAAAAGAAAUCUGAGUUUGUCAACUUAGAUGAAUUGACUGAAAGUAUUGUCCAAAAAAGGGGUGAAGAAGAUAAGGAUAAUGUAAAUUCACAGGUAGAUCUGAGUACACCUGUAGCUGAAAUUCGCAGAUCUUCCAGGAACAUUAGACCUUCACAACGUUAUUCACCUAUUUUAAAUUAUCUCCUAUUGACUGAUGGUGGUGAGUCAGAGUGAUAUGAUGAAACCUUGCAAGAUGAGAAUUCAAGCAAGUGGGAGUUAGCCAUGAAGGAUGAGAUGGAUUCCUUGUUGGGGAAUCAAAUAUGGGAACUAACUGAAUUGCCAGUAGGAAAGAAGGCUUUGCACAACAAGUGGGUAUACAAAAUAAAGAAUGAGCAUGAUGGUAGCAAACGUUACAAGGCCAGAUUAGUUGUUAAAGGGUUCCAGCAGAAGGAGGGCAUUGACUACACAGAGAUAUUUUCUCCAGUUGUGAAGAUGUCAACAAUCAGACUUGUAUUGGGAAUGGUGGCUGCAGAAACCUUACAUUUUGAGCAAUUAGAUGUGAAGACAUCAUUCCUUCAUGGUGACUUGGAGGAAGACCUUUACAUGAUUCAUCCAGAAGGGUUCAUUGUUCAGGGACAAGAGAAGCUAGUCUGCAAACUGAGAAAGAGCUUGUAUGGCCUUAAACAAGCUCCUAGACAGUGGUACAAGAAGUUUGACAGUUUUAUGCAUAGAAUUGGGUUGAAGAGAUGUGAAACUGAUCACUGUUGCUAUGUUAAGUCUUUUGACAAUUCUUACAUCAUAUUACUAUUGUAUGUGGAUGAUAUGCUUAUUGCAAGGUCUAACAUUGAGAAAAUUAAUAAUCUGAAGAAGCAAUUGUCCAAACAGUUUGCAAUGAAAGAUUUGGGAGCUGCAAAGCAAAUCCUUGGUAUGAGAAUCAUUAGAGACAAGACUAAUGGUACAUUGAAGCUUUCAUAGUUAGAGUAUGUGAAGAAAGUUUUCAGUAGGUUCAACAUGAAUGAAGCUAAACCAGUUAGCACACCCUUGGGUAGUCAUUUCAAACUAAGCAAAGAACAGUCACUGAAGACAGAAGAAGAAAGGGACCAUAUGAGCAAGGUGCCCUAUGCCUCAGCUAUUGGCAGCUUGAUGUAUGCUAUGGUGUGUACAAGGCCAGACAUUGCACAUGCAGUGAGAGUUGUGAGUAGAUUCAUGAGUAGGCCUAGAAAGCAGCAUUGGGAGGCAGUCAAGUGGAUUCUAAGAUAUCUGAAGGGUUCAUUAGAUACAUGUCUUUGCUUCACAAGUGCAAGUUUGAAACUACAAGGUUAUGUAGAUUCUGAUUUUGCUGGUGAUAUUGAUAGUAGAAAGAGUACUACUAGGUUUGUUUUAACUCUAAGUGGUAGAGCUAUAUCAUAGGCUUCAAAUCUAUAAAAGAUUGUUACUUUGUCUACUACAGAAGCUGAGUAUGUUGCAGCAACUGAAGCUGGAAAGGAGAUGAUUUGGCUACAUGGUUUCUUAGAUGAAUUGGGUAAGAAGCAAGAGAUGGGCAUUCUACACAGUGACAAUCAGAGUGCAAUUUUUCUUGCCAAAAAUUCGGCUUUUCAUUCAAAGUCGAAGCAUAUACAAACAAAAUACCACUUUAUCCGUUACUUUAUUGAAGAUAAACUGGUAAUACUUGAGAAGAUUUGUGGAUCUAAGAACCCGACAGACAUGUUGACUAAGGGUGUCACUAUUGAGAAGUUGAAGCUGUGCGCAGCUUCAAUUGGUCUUCUAUCUUGAGGAUAGGAGGAUGAGUUGCAGGGAUGAGGGAUUGUUUCUUGGAGGAUAGCGGCUUGAUGUUGGUGAUUGAACUAGUCUCCAAGUGGGNNNNNNNNNNNNNNNNNNNNNNNNNNNNNNNNNNNNNNNNNNNNNNNNNNNNNNNNNNNNNNNNNNNNNNNNNNNNNNNNNNNNNNNNNNNNNNNNNNNNUUUGUUAGGCUUUGUGGAGCCUAGUUUUGUUUGAUCCGGUUUGACGACCUGAUCCGAAAAAUAUUGCGUGGUUUUUUAAUGAGAGAUUUACUGAGGCUUAGUCCAUGUAGCGAAUAGCCCAUUGUGGAACCGCAUUUUUUAAUUAGGGUUUUUUAGUGUGGUGUGGUUGCUGUAUUUUAUAUAGAGAGAAAAUAUUGUAGCCGCAAGUCGUAUUCUGUAUUCUUUCCAGAUAAUAGUGAUAUCCCUGCAACUCCGUGGAUGUAGGCAAAUUGCCAAACCAUGUAAAUGCUGUCUUGUGUGUGUGAUUGUUUUUCUUUGGCGUGUGUUUUCUCUAUUUUUUUUUUGUUUCUCACAGGUUGGGAAUUCGGCUUAAUUCCCUUCAUUUUUGAAUUGAAUUGAUUUUUAUCUUGAUACCUAGGCUUCUAAUGAAGAGUGUGACAGCAUCCGAACUCAAUGCUGACUCUUCUUAUGGAGUGGCGAGAAGAGUAGGUGGUGCUAGCAUACAAAAUGACAUGCCGUUCAAGUCUGGCUAUUAUUGUAGGAAGAGUCAUGGGCCACCUUCGUUUGACAAUAAAACCAGUUUAAGACUUCCCAAAACAGAGUUGACGAUGACUUUGAUAUUUUUUUGAAAGAAACAUCUACACUUCUCGUGGAAAGAUAUGAGGAGGAAGUUAAGACAGAACAUCUCAUAAAACCUUUUAGACGGAGUCCAUUUUCACAGCAACAAGAAGUAUUGGAGCAGCUAUGGGGAUCAACAGUGGCACUACUGUUAGAGUUCUAUUGCUCUUAUUUUAUUGUUUUUGGUUUGAGUUUUGCGUUUAUGCCAUAGACACCUUUACAUCCACACACUUCAUCAAGGAUUCUGAAACUAUAGUCUCUAAUGGAAGUCUCUUCAAACUGGGUUUCUUUAGCCCUAGUAAUUCUACCAAACGCUAUGUCGGAAUCUGGUACGGCAAGACUUCUGUAUCCUCUGUGGUAUGGGUUGCUAACAGGGACAAGCCCCUUAAUGAUACUUCUGGAAUUGUGAAGAUAUCUGAAGAUGGUAAUCUUCAAAUUUUGAAUGGCGAGAAAGAGGUUAUCUGGUCAUCAAAUGUUUCAAAUGCUGUAUCAAACACAACCGCGCAGCUUUUAGAUUCUGGAAACCUUGUUUUGAAAGACGACAGCAGUGGAAGGAUCAUAUGGGAGAGUUUCCAGCAUCCUUCUCAUGCACUUUUGGCAAAUAUGAAACUCAGCACCAACAUAAACACUGCUGAGAAACGAGUGCUGACAUCAUGGAAAGAGGCUUCGGAUCCAUCCAUUGGAAGCUUCUCUAUAGGAGUUGAUCCAUCAAAUAUCGCUCAAACUUUCAUUUGGAAUGGCAGUCAUCCAUAUUAUCGCAGUGGUCCAUGGAAUGGUCAGAUCUUUCUUGGAGUAGCCAACAUGAAUUCAUUUGUUGGUAAUGGGUUUCGGGUGGACCAUGAUGAAGAAGGUACCGUUUCUGUAUCUUUUACUACUUCAGAUGAUUUUUUCUCAUUGUACUAUGUCGUGACUCCCGAAGGAACAAUGGAGGAAAUAUAUAGACAGAAGGAAGAUUGGGAGGUCACGUGGGAAAGCAAGCAAACUGAGUGUGAUGUUUAUGGUAAGUGUGGGGUAUUUGGAAUCUGUAAUCCAAAGAAUUCACCAAUUUGUAGCUGUUUGCGAGGGUAUGAGCCAAAGUCUGUAGAGGAAUGGAAUAGAGGAAAUUGGACUAGUGGGUGUGUGAGGAAGACUCCAUUGCAAUGUGAGAGAACAAAUGGUAGCAUUGAAGUGGGAAAAAUAGAUGGAUUUUUUAGGGUAACAAUGGUGAAAGUACCAGAUUUUGUAGAAUGGUUCCCUGCUCUUAAAAAUCAAUGCAGAGAUAUGUGCUUGAAGAAUUGUUCCUGUAUAGCUUAUUCCUAUAAUAAUGGAAUUGGUUGUAUGUCAUGGAGUCGUGACUUACUCGAUAUGCAAAAGUUCUCUAGCAGUGGAGCAGAUCUUUACAUUCGUGUCGCAGACACGGAACUAGGUAAAAUGGUCUUGUUUCCUUUACCUCUUUCUCUCUCUGCUUAGAUACUGGUUUAAAUUUUGAUAAAUUUUCAGUCCAAUAUUUACUUCUUGUUUUGAUUUACAGAUAAAAAGGGAAAUGUGAAAGUAAUUGUUUCUGUUGUAGUGAUUAUAGGAACAAUUACUAUCAUCUGCAUAUAUUUAUCAUGCAGGUGUUGGAUGACCAAACAAAGAGGUAAUAUUUCCCAUUUAACAUAGUCUAGUGGGAUGGGAUAUAUUUGUAGUUUUUAUUCAUGCAUUCUCACUGCUAAAUUCACGAUCAGCAAGAGUAAGAAGGGAGAAAAUCCUGGAAGUGUCACUUUUUGAAAGAGGGAAUGUACAUCCAAAUUUUUCUGAUGCCAAUAUGCUUGGAAACAAUGUGAACCAAGUUAAACUUGAAGAGCAAAAGCUUAUCAAUUUUGAGAAGCUGGUGACUGCAACAAAUAACUUUCAUGAGGCCAAUAAGCUGGGGCAGGGUGGUUUUGGUUCAGUGUACAGGGUAAUGCGUCUUCAACUGGAGCUUUAUUGGGUAUUAUGUUUGGACUAGUAUUUACUAGUUUGAUGAUUGUUUAAAGGGAAAAUUGCCAGAAGGACAAGAAAUAGCAGUGAAGAGGCUAUCAAGAGCAUCCGCCCAGGGGCUUGAAGAAUUUCUGAAUGAGGUUAUGGUGAUUUCUAAUGUCCAACACCGAAACCUUGUUAGACUUCUUGGCUGCUGCACUGAAGGAGAUGAAAAGAUGUUGGUCUACGAGUAUCUGCCAAAUAAAAGCUUGGAUGCCUUUCUCUUUGGUUAGAUCAUGCUACUGUCCCUUCUCUUAUCCAUAGUUUCUGAAAUUUCUUAGUUCCACAUCAAUUGUCUCUUACCUUUUGUUUUCUGUUUUGGAUGCUAGUAAUUCAGCUCCUGUCAAGCGAGAUUCUCUAACUUGGAGGAGACGCUUCAGCAUUAUUGAAGGGAUUGCCCGAGGCCUCCUUUACCUUCACAGGGAUUCUAGAUUAAGAAUUAUUCAUCGGGAUCUUAAGCCAAGUAACAUUUUAUUGGAUGAAGACAUGAAUCCUAAAAUUUCAGAUUUUGGUAUGGCCAGGAUAUUUCAAGCCAAACAGGAUAAAGCCAACACAGUCAGGAUUGCUGGAACAUAGUAAGUAGCCCUUGCUUUUUCCAAGUUCCCUUAACUUGGAUCCGAUAUUUAUUUCUGUCUCAAUGACAAAGUGCAGUGGCUAUAUGUCUCCUGAGUAUGCAAUGGAAGGGAUUUUUUCAGAGAAGUCCGAUGUAUUCAGCUUUGGAGUAUUAUUAUUAGAGAUUAUAAGCGGGAUAAAAAGCGCAGGCUUUUGUCAUGAUGAGCAGUCUUUGAGCCUUUUAGGAUAUGUAAGUGUUUUCUGCAUCAUCACCUCAGUUCUGUAAAGCUUCAUCAUCCUCUUUCUGUGACUGUUGAACUCUAAUAAGUUUUAAUUUAUGUGUUAAUUUUUCAGGCAUGGAAACUAUGGAAUGGAGACAGCAUGGAAGCAUUUAUAGACGGGAGAAUAUCAGAAGAAUGCUACCAAGAGGAGAUAUUGAGAUGCAUGCAUGUGGGGUUGUUAUGUGUGCAAGAAUUAGCAAAAGAUCGGCCAUCUAUUUCAAUUGUUGUUUCUAUGCUCUGUAGUGAAAUUGCUCAUCUUCCUUCCUCAAAGCCACCUGCAUAUAGUGAGAGGCAGAUUAUAAUAGAUACAGAGUUCUCCAGGAGACAAAACUUAUGUUCAGUGAACCAAGUAACUGUUACAAACGUCCAUGCCCGGUAAAAAUUAGGUUAGAGAAAAUUAAAUCUUUAUUUGUAAUAUAUAUUUUGAUGAUUUCUGUGGGGAGGACUGUGCCCAUCCUCGUUUCAAGGAGCCCAUGAAGCUAUAGUUGCACGAAACAAUCAGUUUUGUUGAUUUUGAUACUUCAUUUCUCAAGAAAAAUCUAUACACCUUGAAAUAAAAACAUGCAGAUCAGAGAAAUAUCAUUGGAAAUUGGACAGGUUAAAGAUAAUAGGUAUUAAUGCUUUAUACUCUUUCUGGAUUGAAUUGCUUCUGUUUUAAUGCCCAAGCAUCUAAUGUGGAAGUGUGAAUGUGUGAUGGUUUCCAGAGUUGAAUGCAAGCCCCAUUUGUUUGACUGCCAGCCACAGUGGGUGGUUGCAGAUAAAAUAACAUUCCAUGUAAGCUUUCAAAUUGAUCCAUGUGAUGUAAUGGGGUUUAUUAAAAAAAAUAUACAGGCUCCUUUUUUUGACUACCAAAUUGAUCCAAUCGUAUGGACAAAGAGAGUUUACCAUGACUUCGGCAGGAACGGUUGGAUGAAUCUUAGAUGGAACAUUGUCAACAUUCCCAUUUAUGGCAUACCAGAUGGAGUCCAUUUUCUCACCAACACGAAGCAUUGAAGCAGCUAUGGGAAUCAUUAGUGGCAUAAGUGUUACUUCUCUUACUUUCUUGUCUUUGUUUUCAGUUUUGCACAGGUACCAACACCAUUACAUCACCCAGUUCAUCAAAGAUCCCGAAGCUAUGCUCUCUAAUGGAAGUCUCUUCAAAAUAGGUUUCUUUAGCUCUGGCAAUUCCACUAAACAAUACUUCGGGAUCUGGUACAACACCACUUCCCGAUUUACUGCUAUAUGGAUAGCUAACAGGGAAAACCCUCUCAAUGAUUCUUCAGGGAUUGUGAUGGUAUCUGAAGAUGGUAAUCUCCUGGUUCUAAAUGGCCACAAAGAGAUCUUCUGGUCAUCAAAUGAUUCAAAUGCCCAGCUUUUAGAUUCUGGGAACCUUGUUUUGCAGGACAAAAACAGUUGAAAGAUCAUAUGGGAGAGCUUCCAGCAUCCUUCUCACACCUUUUUUCAGAAGAUGGAGCUGAGUGAAAACAUUAAGACUGGUGAGAAGAAAGCACUAACAUCAUGGAAAAGUCCUUCGGAUCCAGCUGUUGGAAGCUUCUCAGCUGGCAUCCAUCCAUCAAACAUUCCUGAAAUUUUAGUCUGGAGCGCCAGUUGUCCAUUCUGGCGCAGUGGUCCAUGGAAUGGUCAGACCUUAAUAGGAGUACCUGAAAUGAAUUAUCUCAAUGGAUUUCAUGUAGUUGACGAUUAAGAUGGUAAUGCUUCUGUCACUUUUGAGCAUGCAUACGCCUCUAUCUUAUGGUAGUAUGUCUCGUCUCCUCAAGGAACAAUAGUGGAAAUGUAUAGCCACGACAGCAUGGAGAAUUGGGAGAUUACAUGGCAGAGUCAUAAAAGUGAGUGUGAUGUCUAUGGCAAGUGUGGGGCAUUUGGAAUUCACCAAUUUGUAGCUGUUUAAGAGGGUUUGAACCAAGGAAUAUAAAGGAAUGGAGUAGAGGGAAUUGGACUGGUGAAUGUGUCAGGAAGACACCACUGCAAUGCGAGAGGAUAAAUGGUAGCAUGGAAGAGAGCGAAGCAGAUCGAUUUAUUAGGCUAACAACCAUUAAAGUGCUGGAUUUUGCAGAGUGGUCAGUUGCUUGAAGCUUGUUCCUGCGUAGCUUAUGUAUAUUAUGCUAGUAUUGGUUGUAUGUCAUGGAGCAGGAGCCUAAUGAUAUUCAAAAAUUCUCCAGCAAUGGGGCAGAUCUUGACGUCUGUGUUCCAUACUCAGAACUAGGUAACGAGUUCUUGCCGCCAUUACCUCCACACAACACCCCUCUCCCCAUCUUUCUCAGUCUAAUGUCAAUUUUCCCUAUUAUGGCUGGAUUAAGCUGAUUUAAUUCUUAACUUUUAAUUUACAGAUAAAAGUAGAUAUAUGAAAACUACUGUUACUGUUAUGGUCACUAUAGGAAUAAUUUUCAUUGCAGCCUGUAGAUAUUUCUCCCCAUACAUGUGGGAGUGUUAUGUGUGCAAGAAUUGGCCAGAGAUAGGCCAUCCGUUUCAAUUGUUGUUUCUAUGCUUUGUAGUGAAAUUGCACAUCUUCCUCCCCCAAAGCAACCUGUGUUUACGGAGAGGCAGAUUGCUAGAGAUACAGAAUCCUCUGAACAUAGCCAAAAUAAUUAUGCUGUUGACAGAGCAGUAUUACAAUAAUUCAAGCUCGGUAGAACUCCGGUUGAAGACAAUUUAUUGAGUUUUUGUAAUCUGUACUGAACUUGACGAUUUUAAGGUGGAAGAUUUGAGCCUAUCAGGGCAGGGUUGCAAGAAACUAUCCUGAUUUUGAUGCUCUAUUCUCAGUAGAGGUCUAUAGACCUUGACUAACAACCUCUUGACAAGAUAGAGACUAGAGAAAUAACAAUGAAAGUUGAGCUGGUUAAAGAUACUGGCAAUACUUAUGCUUUAUGGAUGGAAUUGCUUCCAGUUUAUUGCUUAGGCAUCUAAUAUGGAUAUCUGACAGCUCCCAAACUUAAUGCAACCCCUGUUUUAUGGGCAGCUAGGCAUGGGUGGGGCUUGCAAAGGAAAUGACUCUGCCGCGUAAGCUUUGAAAUAAUUAGGCCAAGUUGGUGGAGCCUGCAACCAUUAGGCUAUGUUUGGUUCCCAUAAAAUUUGAAGGAAAGAAAAUACAAAGGAAAAGUAGAAGGAAAGAAAAAGUGAAGGAAAAUAAAAAAAUAAAUUAAAAGUUGAUAAAUUAUUUUUUUUGUUAUUUCAAACUCAUUUUAUUUAUUUUAACUCAUCAAUAUAAAGAUUAAAUAAUUUAAAAAUACAUAAGUUNNNNNNNNNNNNNNNNNNNNNNNNNNNNNNNNNNNNNNNNNNNNNNNNNNNNNNNNNNNNNNNNNNNNNNNNNNNNNNNNNNNNNNNNNNNNNNNNNNNNNNNNNNNNNNNNNNNNNNNNNNNNNNNNNNNNNNNNNNNNNNNNNNNNNNNNNNNNNNNNNNNNNNNNNNNNNNNNNNNNNNNNNNNNNNNNNNNNNNNNNNNNNNNNNNNNNNNNNNNNNNNNNNNNNNNNNNNNNNNNNNNNNNNNNNNNNNNNNNNNNNNNNNNNNNNNNNNNNNNNNNNNNNNNNNNNNNNNNNNNNNNNNNNNNNNNNNNNNNNNNNNNNNNNNNNNNNNNNNNNNNNNNNNNNNNNNNNNNNNNNNNNNNNNNNNNNNNNNNNNNNNNNNNNNNNNNNNNNNNNNNNNNNNNNNNNNNNNNNNNNNNNNNNNNNNNNNNNNUUUCUCAUGUUUGGUUGUCCUAUGAAAAAUAUCAAAGAAAAUCAAAUAUAAUUAAAACUAAUUAAAAACUUAUGUAUUUUUAAAUUAUUUAAUCUUUAUAUUGAUGAGUUAAAAUAAAUAAAAUGAGUUUGAAGUAACAAAAAAAAUAAUUUAUCAACUUUUAAUCUAUUUUUUUAUUUUCCUUCACUUUUUCUUUCCUUCUACUUUUCCUUUGUAUUUUCUUUCCCUCGCAUUUUCCCUCAAAUUUUCCGGGAACCAAACAUAGCCUAAGUAUUUUUUUUCUUUCCUUUGUACUUUCCGGGAACCAAACAUAGCCUUAGAAAAUAUACGUGAUCCUUUUUUGACUAGAAAUCAAUUAAGCUGAAUUUUUUUGGAAACAAAUUGAAGAAUUCGAAAAAGAAGAGUGUCAUUCAGGAAUUUAGAAGCAGGAUUGAGGGCAAAGAUGGAGUAGCAUGCAUUAAUAUUUGAUUUAUUCUGUAAUUAAUUCCACUGGACAGCAUCAUGGUGUAGGAAGUUUGGACCAUCAAGGAGUAGAGGUGAAAAUUGGGCUGGGAGGCCCAUGGCCUGGUUCGGCCUGACACAGUUACUGUGCAAGUUGGCCUGCAUUUUGUGGCUCAGGACGAUGUGUUAACUGGCUCCUUUUGAAUUAAUUAUUUAAAUUAUUAAAGCAAUUUUAUUAUUUUUAUUCUCUAAAUAAAAGUGUGUAUGAAAAAAAUAUAUACCAAAGAAUGCUCAUCUCUUUCUCUCUACUUGUUUCUCAUAUUUACUUUGCAAUUUAUUAUAUGCUAUAUUAUUUCUUUUACAAAAAGAUUGAAUUUAAUUAAUGUAUAAAAUGAAUCUAAAAUAAAGUGUACAAACAACAAAGAAAGUUAGAAACAACACGAAAGACAGCUUUGAAGCCAUGAACAAGUUGAAUAAACCCAAAUAUGAUAUUGCUUAAUGCCAUGUUGACAAAAGAAUGGACUCCUUAUCAAGAAAAAAAGAUUCAUACAUCAUUUUCUUUUUGUUUCUAUACUUGUAAACAAAAUCAAUUUGAACCCAAAUUCGUAGACGUUUUGGUUUAUGCCAAGCUUCAAACCUCUGGCCUAAAAAUAGUUUCUAAAAAUAGUUUUUUUUUUAUAUUUUAUAAAAUAAAUAUCUAUUUAAAAACCUAAAAUAUUUUAAACAUAUUUUAAAAUUAAUUUAAAAAUAAAUUUUAUGUUUAAUAUUUUAUUUUUAAUUCUUUCAUGUGUUUGUAUAAUUAUUUUUAAAAAUAUUUCUUAAAAAAUAAGUGAAAACAUCAUAUUUUAUGUUUUUAAAAAUAAAAAAUAGAAAACUAAUUUUUAUUAUCAAACAUAUUUUUUUGAUUUUUUUUUAUUCCAAACAUAUUUUCUUGAUUUUUUUUAAAGAUCUAUUAUUAUUAUUAUUAUUAUUAUUAUUAUUAUUAUUAUUAUUAUUAUUAUUAUUAAAGACCAUUGAGCACAUUAAUGCCAUGGGUCUUUUUUAGUCGAAGGUUAGACAGCAGAAGAAAGAGAGUGGGCAAGAGUGAAGGCAAAAUUCCUUCUAGAGUUUGGGCAAGUUCCUUGUAGCCCAAGGGGUCCAUGGUGUAGAACUUGUGUUAUGGUGUAUUUUAGUUUAUUUUUUCUCGGGUCCUGAAUAAUAUUUUGAACAUUCUGAUUUAAAUUUCCAAGAGAAUCUUAUCUUCAAGCUGAGUCAGAAGUUCUGAUGACCAAAAACAAAUAAACCCAACAAUCUUCUGACUUAAAAUGAUCAAGCAGGUCCGGUUAAUUCUUAUAGGUUAAAGAAACUGAUAUUAGUUGAUGUGAAAAUGAUUCUGUUGGAUGAGUUCUAAAACUGAUACAAUAAUGUAUUUUAUCCGUGCAAAAUGAAUAAUAUUUACAUUCUGACAUUUAUAUAUGAAUAAAAAAGAGAAAAAAGACCUAUGUGGUCAAUAUGUUGAAUGAGGCCAUGUCCAGGGGCAGGCUUUUUUGACUUGUAAAUUAAUUUCUGGAUUCAACAGUCAAAAGAAGUUGAACAAUGUCUAACGUCGGGCCCAGGGAAGAAAGAAAAUGGGUUUUAACAUUCACGAAUUUUCAAGCAUGCGCUUACAUUUGAUCCAUCCCGCAAUUAAACCCAAUGGACCGUGUCAUGGCAUGAAAGUACAGUUCCUUGAUCCAUCCAGGACCCUCACUUGAGAGGUUUUGGUAAAAAUUAAUGUAGCAGCCGGUUGAGGAAUCGGGAAAAGAGGAGUCUUCUGUAUUAGUUGGAUGCAAGGCAAGACUGGAAAUGUUAUUACUAAAAGAAAUAUUUAUUUAUUUAUAUAUCCGUAUGGGAACCGAGGGAGAUGACUGGGACCUCUAGGUUAGAAAUGGAGAUGGCAAAAGGCCAAAACAGCAUUGUACGCAGAUGCAUCGAACAUAGACAGCUCCAUCUUCGCAACAACAACCAUCAUUCUAGAGGUUAUGGAAAUCAUCAUCCUCAAAAGCGUAAUAACUCCACUUCUCUUGCUUUCUGGCUUUUGCUUUGGAUUUUGCACUCCUAUUGACACCAUUACAUCCACCCAAUUCAUCAAAUGCCCUGAAACUCUAGUCUCUAAUGGAAGUGCCUUCAAACUGGGUUUCUUUACCCCUGCUGAUUCAACCAACCGCUAUGUUGGCAUCUGGUACAGCACCCCUUCUUUAUCUACUGUCAUAUGGGUGGCAAACAGGGACAAACCCCUCACUGAUUUCUCUGGGAUUGUGACCAUAUCUGAAGAUGGUAAUCUUCUGGUUAUGAAUGGCCAGAAAGUGAUUGUCUGGUCCUCGAAUCUUUCAAAUGCAGCACCGAAUUCAAGUGCUCAGCUUUUAGAUUCUGGAAACCUUGUUCUGCGAGAUAACAGCGGAAGGAUCACAUGGGAGAGCAUCCAACAUCCUUCUCAUUCAUUUUUGCCAAAGAUGAAAAUCAGCACGAA